rnacentral:rRNA from 1 species
UACGAAGGGGGCUAGCGUUGUUCGGAAUUACUGGGCGUAAAGCGCGUGUAGGCGGGUCUUUAAGUCAGGGGUGAAAUGCCAAGGCUCAACCUUGGAACUGCCUUUGAUACUGGAGAUCUUGAGUCCGGGAGAGGUGAGUGGAACUGCGAGUGUAGAGGUGAAAUUCGUAGAUAUUCGCAAGAACACCAGUGGCGAAGGCGGCUCACUGGCCCGGAACUGACGCUGAGACGCGAAAGCGUGGGGAGCAAACAGGGAUUAA